GGGGAACUGACCAAACUCCAACACACUUCCGCGCGUCAGGGCUGGGCCGGACCACGCGGCUCCGCCCUCCUGGGAGCCAGGGGUGCCACUGCUGGUGUCCCGCCUUCUGUCCUGCUGGUGCGCGCCCGGACUCGCUCGGGUUCAGUCCAGGAGAACGGGAUCGGGGGAGUCCGUCCAGGGAUCCGGAGCUGCGCGCCUCCGCCGGCCCAGCCGCGGACGCGGGGUGACACCUUUCGCCCGGGAUUAACAAGAUAGUGUUGCUAGACUGUGACCUUUGGCUGUUUCGAAGGACAUGGUUCCCAGACCUGUGGCUCCAAAACCCAAUUUCAUUUGUGCAAUCAGUGGAUCUGCUUUGCUAAGAAGAUUAAUAUACAACCUGCCCUGGUGAUGCACUUGGGAGGCUGCAGCAGGAAGAUCUUGAGUUUGAGACCAUCAUAAUGAGUGAAAGGCCAGCCUGGAAUACAAGAUCCUGCCUAAAAAUAAAAAUAAAUUGGGAAGGGGUUGGAGGAUGGCUCAGCAGACAGGAUCUCACUCUGUAGCCCUUGGCAGACUUGGAAUUCACAAUGUAGUCCAGACUGGUCUUGAACUCAAGAGAUCUGUGCUGUAUUAAAGGUAUUUGACACCAUA